UACGAAGGGGGCGAGCGUUGUUCGGAUUUACUGGGCGUAAAGGGCGCGUAGGCGGCCCUGUAAGUCCGUUGUGAAAGUCAAAGGCUCAACCUUUGAAAGCCGAUGGAUACUGCAGGGCUAGAGUCCGGAAGAGGCGAGUGGAAUUCCUGGUGUAGCGGUGGAAUGCGCAGAUAUCAGGAGGAACACCAAUAGCGAAGGCAGCUCGCUGGGACGGUACUGACGCUAAGGCGCGAAAGCGUGGGGAGCGAACAGGA
rnacentral:rRNA from 1 species